AAUUCUAAAAUCAGAGAAGCAUUCGUUUUCUCUCUCCCCGAUUCUUCUCCCUCUUCCUCUUCACUUCAUUUUCUCUCUCCUCUGUCGUCGUCGUCGCUUCUUCACCGCUGGAGAUCGAUCUCCCCUACCUCCGUUGAUCUCUACCCUCUUCCAGAUCAGACUAAUUCAGGUAGUUUGGAUCACUGGAGCCAGCCGCGGAAUCGGCUGAGAUCACUUGGGCUUUCACUGUAUUGGGAUACUUGGGGAAGCUUAUAAUGGGAAUUUUAGGGAGGAAACGGCCUCCAUGUUUACUGGUUCAGUAAUAGAAUUGAAGACGUGCAAUGCUGCUUUGCUUGAAGGCACUGGAAAAUCCUGGGAAGAGGGGAUUUCGUGCCUCACAUUCCUGGCUAACUGAAGUGUAAAAGAUGAUGGAAGAGGAUUGGCCAUUAUUUGAGUGUAUAAGAUGGACAGGAAAAUAAGUUUGUCCCAUGUUUGUUUGUUUGAACCUUAACUGUUUAAAAGAAAUUACGAGUUUAAUGGGGAAGGAUUCUAUAUGACCUGGUGGAAUAUGCUGAUCCUGUGCUACUGAUAUAUUUGUCUGCAAUUGCAUACCUUAUGAUCCGUAAAAACAGGUAGAAUACCCAGCUCCUGGCAAUAACAAGGCAUGAAGAUCAACAAAUUCCUGGAGAAGACAUAGUUAACAUGCAACUGCCUCAAAGAAGGACAAAUGCAGACGAUAUUGAGUAAUUGGUAUUCAACAAUCCGAGGGAGAAGCCUUUUACCACUGAGUAGAUAAAUGAAGUUCGAGAAAAGUUGGCAAAGUUCAUUACCAUUUAUUGUCUUUGAUAUUUUCUUGUAGUGAAUCUUAGAUUAUGGAUGCUAGUUUUUCAUAGGAUUGUCAUGUAAUCAAUUUUUAUAUUAUAAUUGGAUAUUUUUUUUAUGUGAUGUAUGGAGGUUAACUAGUGGGCGUGGUCUAAUUGUAUAAUAUAUGUAGCAGGGAUAUCAGUUAUAUAACAAAUUUCUAGAUCAAUUGCGGCUCA